CCCCGCAGCGCCGCCCCUCCAGGCGCCCAGGGGCUGCAGGCGCUGCACCCAGCGUGGACAAAGAUCCGCAAGCACCGUGGGGCAGCUCCGCUCCACGCCCCUCCCUGGCGCUACGGCUCAUCUUGACGCCCCCCACGCCAGCCCCUAAGCUCCUCCCACUCCUCACUACCCUGGACCCAUGACCUGGGACCCCGGACCUGCUGCGUCCAGACAGCCGCUGAGCGGCGCGCCCCGCAAGUGUUUUUCUGGGCUGUGUUCAUGAAUGCUGCAAAUGUACACUUGCACAGGAUCUCUAGGAAGGGCGAUGGCCCUGAACUUGUGUAAUGACGAGUCAAAGUAAGCCACUGACUGCGUUGUCUGCGAAAGGAAAGAGCAGAAGUCCACAGGCGAAACAGCUCUCUGCUAUGGCCUGGGAAAGCAGUAGAAGAUGGCCCAAGUGCUUGGGCCCCCGCACCCACGUGGGAGACCUGGAAGAAGCUCCUGGCUCCUGGCUUCGGAUCAAUGCAGCUCCGGCCAAUGCGGCUGUCUGGGGAGUGAACCAGAGGAUGGAAGACCUCUCUCUCUCUCUCUGCCUCUCCUUAUUUGUAACUCUAACUUUCAAGUAAAUAAACAAAUCUUAAAAAAAAAAAAAAACCUUCCAAAUAGGGAGGAAAUGUUGCCGUGUGCUCUGUACUGGCCCAUACCUCUCUUGGGACAUCUUUCCCUUUACUGUACCUACAGGGCCAUGUGCUCAUUGCACUGAUCCUCAUUUGGCACAUAU